AAGUCGAGCGAGAAACAUCUUCGGAUGUGAUUAGAGCGGCGAACGGGUGAGUAACGCGUGGGAACAUACACAAUACUGGGGGAUAACUACUGGAAACGGUAGCUAAUACCGCAUACGCCCUAUGGGGGAAAGAUUUAUCGGUGUUGGAUUGGCCCGCGUUAGAUUAGCUAGUUGGUAGGGUAAUGGCUUACCAAGGCAACGAUCUAUAGCUGGUUUGAGGGGAUGAUCAGCCACACUGGAACUGAGACACGGUCCAGACUCCUACGGGAGGCAGCAGUAGGGAAUAUUGCACAAUGGGGGAAACCCUGAUGCAGCCAUGCCGCGUGAGUGAAGAAGGCCUUAGGGUUGUAAAGCUCUUUCAGAUGUGAGGAUGAUGACGUUAACAUCAGAAGAAGCUCCGGCUAACUUCGUGCCAGCAGCCGCGGUAAUACGAAGGGAGCUAGCGUUGUUCGGAACUACUGGGCGUAAAGGGCGUGU
rnacentral:rRNA from 1 species